rnacentral:rRNA from 1 species
UGACAACCUGGUUGAUCCUGCCAGUAGUCAUAUGCUUGUCUCAAAGAUUAAGCCAUGCAUGUCUAAGUACAAACUAUAUUAAAGUGAAACCGCGAAAGGCUCAUUAAAUCAGUUAUGGUUCCUUAGAUCGUACCACAAUUACUUGGAUAACUGUGGUAAUUCUAGAGCUAAUACAUGCAAACAGAGCUCUGACCGGAGACGGAAGGAGUGCUUUUAUUAGAUCAAAACCAAUCGGCGUCGGUAGCGUUUAGGCGUUAUCGUUCGUCGCUCAAUAAAUGGUGAAUCUGAAUAACUUUAUGCUGAUCGCAUGGUCUUGUACCGGCGACGCAUCUUUCAAAUGUCUGCCUUAUCAACUGUCGAUGGUAGGAUCUGCGCCUACCAUGGUUGUAACGGGUAACGGGGAAUCAGGGUUCGAUUCCGGAGAGGGAGCCUGAGAAACGGCUACCACAUCCAAGGAAGGCAGCAGGCGCGCAAAUUACCCACUCCCGGCACGGGGAGGUAGUGACGAAAAAUAACGAUACGGGACUCAUCCGAGGCCCCGUAAUCGGAAUGAGUACACUUUAAAUCCUUUAACAAGGACCAAUUGGAGGGCAAGUCUGGUGCCAGCCGCCGCGGUAAUUCCAGCUCCAAUAGCGUAUAUUAAAGUUGUUGCGGUUAAAAAGCUCGUAGUUGAAUUUGUGUCCCGCACUGUCGGUUCACCGCCCGCGGUGCUAACUGGCAUGAUUGUGGGACGUCCUGCCGGUGGAUGUAAGUGAGAGAUUUCGGUCUUUUGCACAUCCGACUUAUAAAUCCUGUCGCGGUGCUCUUAAUUGAGUGUCGAGGCGGGCCGGCACGUUUACUUUGAACAAAUUAAAGUGCUCAAAGCAGGCUAAUUAAUGCCUGAAUAAUUAGUGCAUGGAAUAAUGGAACAGGACCUUGGUUCUAUUUUGUUGGUUUUCGGAACCCCAAGGUAAUGAUUAAUAGGGACAGGUGGGGGCAUUCGUAUUGCGACGUUAGAGGUGAAAUUCUUGGAUCGUCGCAAGACGGACUAAAGCGAAAGCAUUUGCCAAAAAUGUUUUCAUUAAUCAAGAACGAAAGUCAGAGGUUCGAAGGCGAUCAGAUACCGCCCUAGUUCUGACCAUAAACGAUGCCAGCUAGCGAUCCGCCAAAGUUCCUCCGAUGACUUGGCGGGCAGCUUUCGGGAAACCAAAGCUUUUGGGUUCCGGGGGAAGUAUGGUUGCAAAGCUGAAACUUAAAGGAAUUGACGGAAGGGCACCACCAGGAGUGGAGCCUGCGGCUUAAUUUGACUCAACACGGGAAACCUCACCAGGCCCAGACACUGGAAGGAUUGACAGAUUGAGAGCUCUUUCUUGAUUCAGUGGGUGGUGGUGCAUGGCCGUUCUUAGUUGGUGGAGCGAUUUGUCUGGUUAAUUCCGAUAACGAACGAGACUCUAGCCUACUAAAUAGACGUUUCACUUACCAGUAUCUCGAAGGCUCACAUCUCUCGUUUCUUUACUGCACAUCUCCAGCAUUUCGGUGUUUGGUUGGUGUGUGGUGGGCGGGAGUUUGUGGUUUUUACUACUGGCGUACAUAUAAUUCUUCUUAGAGGGACAGGCGGCUUCUAGCCGCACGAGAUUGAGCAAUAACAGGUCUGUGAUGCCCUUAGAUGUUCUGGGCCGCACGCGCGCUACACUGAAGGAAUCAGCGUGUCUUCCCUGGCCGAAAGGUCCGGGUAACCCGCUGAACCUCCUUCGUGCUAGGGAUUGGGGCUUGCAAUUAUUCCCCAUGAACGAGGAAUUCCCAGUAAGCGCGAGUCAUAAGCUCGCGUUGAUUACGUCCCUGCCCUUUGUACACACCGCCCGUCGCUACUACCGAUUGAAUGAUUUAGUGAGGUCUUCGGACUGGUACGCGGUGAUGUUUCGACAUUACCGAUGUCGCUGGGAAGAUGACCAAACUUGAUUAUUUAGAGGAAGUAAAAGUCGUAACAAGGUUUCCG